rnacentral:lncRNA from 1 species
AUGUUCUGGCCGCUGUGUGACAUUACCUUCUCAUGGCCCUGGCCCUGCCCGCCUAGGCCUAGGCGUGAACCACUUUCUGCAGCAGGAGGCUUGCGGCUCCCCUUCCCAGCCGUCGGGGAUCCUGGUCGAAGCCCGGGGAAACCAGAGCAACGCGCUGGUGCGGCCGCCAAGGCCCAGCGCACCGGGGCGCGCGGGGGUGGAGGGCUCUUGCCUCUCCCAGGUCUUCUUCGCCCAUCCUUCGUCUCUCAGCCUCGAGCCUGGCUGGGUCCGCCAGGCGCGGGGCCAGAGUUUGGGGAGAUCACACCACCCCGUAAAGCCCACUCUGCUUCCUUGAGGUCAGAGGAGGGAGGUUGCACAGAAGGAAGAGCUGGAAGUGGGGAAUCUGGGCGGGGGUGGGUUGCGGUGCUCACAGCCGGUGAAGGGGCGGGACUGCGAGGGCAGAUCCUCGGCCGACCUCCCGGGAGCAGGCGGCCGGCUCCUGGAGCCACUGACAGCCCCUUUCGUCCUCUCUGCUCCGCGCCCUCUCCAGCCCCCUUCGCUCUGGCUCAGCUCAGCCACGGCUCCAGCUCCCCAAGCCCCGCCCGGCUUCCCGCAGCAACAGUUGCGGGGCUCCUAGCCCCGACUCCUGCGUCCGCGCACCGCCCCCUCCCCAGCGGUGCCGCGGCGCCUGGCGAAAAGGGGGGCCCGGAGGGCUCGGCGACCCGGGAGACGAACGUCUUGGGCGCCUCGCCCGCGUCCUUCCCUCGCGUCCGCCGCGCGCGCCUGGCACCCCGGCCUCUCUCCCACACCUCGUCCCCGCCCGCCUGGGUCUUAAUCCCCAGGCCGGGCGCCCCAGGUUCCGGACCCCCAGCUCCACCCCCCUCGGGCUCCGAGCGUCCUCCAGACUCUCCCCGGUGCCCCGCGUCUGUCCCCGCCGUCCUUGCCCGUGAGGCGCCGGAGCCCAGCCCCAAGUUGGCGGCGAAGUUGGCGACCCCGCUCGCCGCCCGCCACUCACCGGGGGGAAGGGGCGCUGCGCCCGCGCCCAGAGCCCGCGCCGGCCGCCUCCCGCGCGGUACGAGUCCUGGCGACUCGGCUCCGCGCGCGGCGCGCUCUGUCCUAGCUUGGCGGGCGCCUGGGCAGGGGCGCCUGCGGGGCCGGAGCCCGUGGCGCGGCCUGCCGGGCUGGGACCGGGCCCGCCCCCACGCCCCGCGCCCCGCGCCCCUCCCGUGGCCCGCUCGGCGCCGGGUUCCGUCCCGGGCUGGGCGGCGCGCCGCGCCUCCGGCUCCCGGGCUCGCCAGCCGGCUGUGUCGGAGCACUGGCCGCCGCCGCCGCCACCUGCGCGGGCCUGCCCCACCGGGGCCCGCCGCCUCCGCCCCGCCCCGGCCGGCCCACCCCACCGGCGUGUCCCUUCUCCCCAUGUCCCCAGACCCUACGGCCUCGGAGAAAACAGGCUGCCCGCAGCCCUGGGUUCAAGCCCCACGCUCAGUGGGUGUGUGA